CAAAGGUGAGCCAGUACAGGAUGGACCCGCGUCUGAUUAGCUAGUUGGUAAGGUAACGGCUUACCAAGGCGACGAUCAGUAGCUGACCUGAGAGGGUGAUCGGCCACAUUGGAACUGAGACGCGGUCCAAACUCCUACGGGAGGCGGCAGUGGGGAAUAUUGCACAAUGGGCGAAAGCCUGAUGCAGCAACGCCGCGUGAGUGAUGAAGGCCUUCGGGUCGUAAAACUCUGUCCUCAAGGAAGAUAAUGACGGUACUUGAGGAGGAAGCCCCGGCUAACUACGUGCCAGCAGCCGCGGUAAUACGUAGGGGGCUAGCGUUAUCCGGAUUUACUGGGCGUAAAGGGUGCGUAGGCGGUCUUUCAAGUCAGGAGUGAAAGGCUACGGCUCAACCGUAGUAAGCUCUUGAAACUGGGAGACUUGAGUGCAGGAGAGGAGAGUGGAAUUCCUAGUGUAGCGGUGAAAUGCGUAGAUAUUAGGAGGAACACCAGUUGCGAAGGCGGCUCUCUGGACUGUAACUGACGCUGAGGCACGAAAGCGUGGGGAGCAAACAGGAUUAGAUACCCUGGUAGUCCACGCUGUAAACGAUGAGUACUAGGUGUCGGGGGUUACCCCCUUCG
rnacentral:rRNA from 1 species